rnacentral:tRNA from 1 species
AUUUAUAUAGUUUACUUAAAACAUUACAUUUUCACUGUAAAAAUGAAUCUUAAAUUCUAUAAAUA